UCCAAUAUUUCCCUCCCAAAAGCACCUUACACCUCUACAACUAUACAAACCUAUCCAUCCUCCAUGUUUACACUCAACACACAUGAAUCCACAGUCAAAGACCCCCUCCCCCUCUCCUGAUUCUUUUCGGCAGACACGCCGAAACCGGCGACAACGCUGACGGGUUGUUCCGAUGAAACCCCGACCACAAAUCUCCAAUUCCUUCUCCCGGCUACUCCCUUCCUCCUCUUUUCUCGUCUGAUUGGCAGCCACGGCGACAGAGGGUCGCGGAGUCAAUAAUGAAGGUGAUGAAGAUGGUGGUGGAGCAACGCCGACGACGUCUUCAGGUCGACCUGCGUUGCGGCGUCUGCGGCGGUGGACGACGGUGGUGGUUCACGGCUCGGGUUAUUUCAGUUUAGUCCGCACCGGUCAAACUGGUUCAAAUUGUGUUCGGGUUAGUUCACUCGGGUGAACUCAGGUGACUUGGUUCAGCUUGGUUCGGGUCUCGACUCGAGUUUCGGUCGACAUCAGUUCGGGUUCGGAAGUGGAGGUAGUCGUGGGUUACCCGUGUUUCGGUUCAAGACUUCAAGUUUAGUUUCAAUUCACUUGUUUCAGUCCAUGUUUGGGUCUCGGUUCAGCCUUCACCGAGUCAACUUGGUGUCUUGAGUUCCAGUUCAGUCAGAUUUCGGAUCGGGAUUCACGUCGGAGUUUAACGCGACUCGUUUCGGAUAAUCGCGUACGUUCGUUCUCUUGGAAUUCUUCAUGCUUACUCGUGUGUUAUUUCAAGGAACCCUUAUACGCAACCAAUGUUGAUUGUUGAGGUGAUAUUCAAGAUGAAACAAGAUUUAGGGUGGACUAGAUACACACCUAGAUUAAUCUAUCUUUUAUUGUUAUGAUUUAUGUUGAAACAAUGUUGUUAUUUUUGUUUGAAUCUUGUAUGACAAUUAGUCCUGAAAUGAAAUUCGAAUUUAACUAAA